rnacentral:rRNA from 3 species
GAGUUUGAUCCUGGCUCAGAUUGAACGCUGGCGGCAGGCCUAACACAUGCAAGUCGAGCGGAUGACGGGAGCUUGCUCCUUGAUUCAGCGGCGGACGGGUGAGUAAUGCCUAGGAAUCUGCCUGGUAGUGGGGGACAACGUUUCGAAAGGAACGCUAAUACCGCAUACGUCCUACGGGAGAAAGCAGGGGACCUUCGGGCCUUGCGCUAUCAGAUGAGCCUAGGUCGGAUUAGCUAGUUGGUGGGGUAAUGGCUCACCAAGGCGACGAUCCGUAACUGGUCUGAGAGGAUGAUCAGUCACACUGGAACUGAGACACGGUCCAGACUCCUACGGGAGGCAGCAGUGGGGAAUAUUGGACAAUGGGCGAAAGCCUGAUCCAGCCAUGCCGCGUGUGUGAAGAAGGUCUUCGGAUUGUAAAGCACUUUAAGUUGGGAGGAAGGGCAGUAAGUUAAUACCUUGCUGUUUUGACGUUACCGACAGAAUAAGCACCGGCUAAC